UAAUCCAGUCUGAAAUUUCAGUUACGAUGUGCCUUGCUUGCCCUUCACCUUCCACCAUGAUUGUAAGUUUCCUGAGGCCUCCCCAGCCAUGUGGAACUUAUUCAGUCCAGGUUUAAGUCCUUCAGCAUCUGACAUUCUCCUGGCAACUGUAAUUGAAUCAAUGAUGACUCAUCUGAGAUGAGCAAGUUGGUCCAGUCAGACCAAACAAAAGACAUUCUAUAAUCAGGGGAGAAGUCUUCUCUAUAUCUCUCUUAUAUGAGCAAGAGCAGGAAAACCCUUAGUGAAACCUGCCUCUGCAGGUUGAUGGCUUGGGAGGAAAGGCAUUAUGGAAAAUGAUUAGGAAAAGUAGGAGAAAGAAGCUCUAUUCCAGAAGCAGUCUGGAGCACAAAGAAUCCCUAAUCACUGACAUUAAGAAAGAAGAAAAAUAUUCCUAGGACGAUCCUGGAGAGCAAAGGUCAUCAGCAGUCACU
rnacentral:lncRNA from 10 species